rnacentral:lncRNA from 1 species
GAUGUCAUCCAAUCCAAUAAAACAAGGAAAAUCUGAGAGUUAACUAGUGAUGUCACGGUUAAUUUGGAGCAUUUUCGUUCAUAAUUCAAUGAAGUAGUAACUAGAAAUCGAGUUAUUUGCAUACAUGUCAUGUGUGGAGAAAAAGCCUCUUGCUAUCCCAUCCAUCAUCUUAUUUCUCAAAUUUGUUUUACAAUCUGUCUAGUUUUUCAUACCUGUUUGUUUGUUUCAACUUCGUCCAAAACUCAAUCCCCCUUUACUUUAGUGUGUCUAAUUAGUUAGAAUCUGUUUUAAUUUGUGUUUUUAAAUGUUUUGAUUCAAGUAAAAGUCCAUUUUCGUCCAAAGUCAUUCCUAGUGUCUAGUUUAAGUUUAUUUAGUUGUUCUAAGCUGGUUUGAGUAUUUUAAGUUUGCUUUGAGUUUUGUGAGUCUUGUUAAGUAUUUUUAAGUUUAGUUUUAUGUUUUUGAGUUAGUUUAGAGGUUAUUAGCAAGCCUUCCUAAUCCCCGGUCCAGAACGAUCCCUACUUAUACUUGUACUACAAUUGUCAAAAGAGGGUUAAAUUUGUGUGUUAAGAUAAUUUUUGCAUCACCACUGAGGUGGCCAUGAAAUAUAGAUAACGCCCUUUAGCGCAUAGAACUUUCGGUGAAAUGAGUGAUUGGGCACUUGACAGUUAAUGUUUCUUGUUUUAGAAUUGUAACAAUGGGAAUUAAUGAAAAAAAUGAUCGAGCCUUGCAAAAGAUGAAGUGACUUCCUGGGGAGGUAUGCCGAGAUCUUGAUCCUGAGGAUGAAUCGGCGUCUCUGUUGUCACCUCUGGUUCGACUAAGGGUGCUGCUUC